GAUGAAGAACGCAGUGAAAUGCGAUAAGUAAUGUGAAUUGCAGAAUUCAGUGAAUCAUCGAAUCUUUGAACGCACAUUGCGCCCCUUGGCAUUCCUUGGGGCAUGCCUGUUCGAGCGUCACUGCAAACCCACUCAUAAAUAUUAUGGUAUUGAUGGAAGUGAACGGAACCAAUCUAUGUGUUCAGGUCAUCCCAUCGAAAUGUAUAAGCAGGACAAUCAACCUGUGCAAUGGACUUAGUAACUGUCUUGAAGACAUAAACCAGUUUGUUGCUUGGUUUUGACUUAGCUUCCAUGGACCUCCAUCCAAGAUAAUAAACUCUGGGUUGACCUCGGAUCAGGUAGGGAUACCCGCUGAACUUAAGCAUAUCAAUAAGCGGAGGA
rnacentral:misc_RNA from 1 species